CUCGUCCCCCACUUCUCGUCUGUGCGGUCAGUCACUCCCUUCUCUCCUUAUUCGUCGCAUUCUGUCUCCUCCUCUCCCCUCGCUGGCUAGGGUUUCUUUUGCUCUGGUCUUUUGUUGGUGCUCGGAUUCAGUGUCCCCCUUCUUGGAUCCAUGAGGAGAUCUGCUUUUUCAGCAUGUGAGAAAAGUGAACAUGGCCAAAAUGUUUAUUUCAAAUGGACAAUGUGGAUUGUGGAGUAAGAUUGCUUAUCGCGUGUGCUACUGACUGGAUAUCAAACAUGUCGAUAUUGAGUCGGAUUGUCCCCAGGACCGAGGUGAUUAACAGCAUCAAGGAUGACCCAUAUGGCUCUAUCAUCGAAGAGGCAUUGCAACUGCUGCUCCCUCUUUUAAACAUUGCCAGUUGGUUAGUCAUCUCCUUUUUAGUCAUGUCUCAGUUGGUUGCACUUUUUUUUUGUUGCUUGUUUGUUACUGUUCCUCUUGAAAUCAUUAGUUAUUCAAGUAUGAUCAAAAUGAUGGCCUAAUCUGAUCAUGCUGCUGAUUGUUGUUAGAUUAGAAAACUGUAAU